UCGCUCAUUGUCAAGCACCAGUGGGAGAUGU
rnacentral:piRNA from 1 species